AUCUCAGUAGCUCGAGGAAAAGACAUCAACCGAGAUUCCGAAAGUAGCGGCGAGCGAAAUUGGAGUAGCCUUUACGUUUUAGCAUCGUGUAUAUCAGAACGGAAUGGAAAGUCCGGCCAUAGCGGGUGAUAGCCCCGUAUGAGAAAUGCUGCGGUGUGGAACUAAGCGUAAGACAAGUAGGGCGGGACACGAGAAAUCCUGUCUGAAUAUGGGGGGACCAUCCUCCAAGGCUAAAUACUCGUAAUCGACCGAUAGUGAACUAGUACCGUGAGGGAAAGGCGAAAAGAACCCCGGGAGGGGAGUGAAAUAGAUCCUGAAACCGUAUGCAUACAAAAAGUAGGAGCCCGCAAGGGUGACUGCGUACCUUUUGUAUAAUGGGUCAGCGACUUACAUUCAGUGGCGAGGUUAACCGAAUAGGGAAGCCGUAGAGAAAUCGAGUCCGAAUAGGGCGAAUUAGUCGCUGGGUGUAGACCCGAAACCAAGUGAUCUAUCCAUGGCCAGGAUGAAGGUACCGUAACAGGUGCUGGAGGUCCGAACCGACUAAUGUUGCAAAAUUAGCGGAUGAGCUGUGGAUAGGGGUGAAAGGCUAAACAAACUUGGAAAUAGCUGGUUCUCUCCGAAAACUAUUUAGGUAGUGCCUCAAGUAUUACCAUCGGGGGUAGAGCACUGUUAUGGCUAGGGGGUCAUGGCGACUUACCAAACCAUUGCAAACUCCGAAUACCGAUGAGUACAGCUUGGGAGACAGAGCACCGGGUGCUAACGUCCGGACUCAAGAGGGAAACAACCCAGACCGCCAGCUAAGGUCCCCAAAAUUGGCUAAGUGGGAAACGAAGUGGGAAGGCUAAAACAGUCAGGAUGUUGGCUUAGAAGCAGCCAUCAUUUAAAGAAAGCGUAAUAGCUCACUGAUCGAGUCGUCCUGCGCGGAAGAUGUAACGGGGCUAAGCCAGUUACCGAAGCUGCGGAUUUGCAAUUUAUUGCAAGUGGUAGGAGAGCGUUCUGUAAGCCUGUGAAGGUGGGUUGUAAACGCAUGCUGGAGGUAUCAGAAGUGCGAAUGCUGACAUGAGUAGCGUUAAAGGGGGUGAAAAGCCCCCUCGCCGAAAGCGCAAGGUUUUCUACGCAACGUUCAUCGGCGUAGGGUGAGUCGGCCCCUAAGGCGAGGCAGAGAUGCGUAGCUGAUGGGAAACAGGUAAAUAUUCCUGUACCGAUUGUAAGUGCGAUGUGGGGACGGAGAAGGUUAGCUCAGCCGGGUGUUGGAUGUCCCGGUUCAAGCGUGUAGUCGUAUCCCUUAGGCAAAUCCGGGGGAAUUAGAUGAGGCGUGAUAACGAGUCUGCUUGCAGACGAAGUGAGUGAUACCCUGCUUCCAGGAAAAGCCACUAAGCUUCAGCUUACAACGACCGUACCGGAAACCGACACUGGUGCGCGAGAUGAGUAUUCUAAGGCGCUUGAGAGAACUCUGGAGAAG
rnacentral:ncRNA from 1 species